rnacentral:rRNA from 1 species
UACGUAGGGGGCAAGCGUUGUCCGGAAUCAUUGGGCGUAAAGAGCGUGUAGGCGGUCCGGUAAGUCGGCUGUGAAAGUCCAGGGCUCAACCCUGGGAUGCCGGUGGAUACUGUCAGGCUCGAGUCCGGAAGAGGCGAGUGGAAUUCCCGGUGUAGCGGUGAAAUGCGCAGAUAUCGGGAGGAACACCAAUGGCGAAGGCAGCUCGCUGGGACGGUACUGACGCUGAGGCGCGAAAGCGUGGGGAGCAAACAGG